rnacentral:snRNA from 1 species
GGAUAUGAGGGUGAACUGGCCUCGACAUGUCGCCCCAUUGAUCACCAGGCAUAACAUGGCUGAUCUAACUGGCUAGGCGGGUACCCCCCUUCCUCCCUCAACACUCCAUGUAAAUGCCUCCCGUAGCUGCACUCUGGGUCAAAGAUGAUGACCUUGCCCAAAGAGAGGAGGAGUGGUCUUUGGUCGAGGGCAUGCGCAUAUGUGUGCUCCCCUUUAGAACCUCCAAAAAUGCUCUUGGGGUUUUGCCAUUGCAAGUAUAGCUGUUUACAAUACUUAAAGACUGAAUAUCUAAAAUGUCCAAACUACAAAGCUAUUU